GUUGUUGUGCUUGUGUCAAGCGACAAGUGGGUUCGUGCGUAGGAGUCCACCAGCGAGGAAUCCUGAUCCGCAUCGUCCACUCCGCCUCCGGUGCCAGCACGCUUUGCAUUCCAAUCGCUCCCGCACCUUCUCCCCUGCCGGCCGACGACGGUCACCAUCGGGAUUUGCUGCCCGCCCCCAUCGGCCAUCGUUACCGCCUCCCCCGUCCCCUCCACCUGCCAGUCGCUAUCUCCUCUCGCGCGGGCCGGGCUCAGAGGAGGAUGAGCAAUGGCUCACCAGAUGCUCCUCGGUACCCUGCGCACCAACGUGCUCACCGAUCCCACCCGCGCCACCGGCGGCCGCGCAGCGUCCCCAAGGUCGUCCGCAAGAAUAGGCAGAGGGAAAAUUGCACUGGCAGCCAUCUCAGACGAUUAUCUUCCGAUGCGAAGUACUGAAUCGAAAAAUCGCAAAUACCAAUCAGUGAAAGGAGCUAAAGUUAUUAUUGAUGCAAACACGGGCCGUUCUGGAGGCUUCGGCUUUGUUAGGUUCGGAGAUGACAAUGACAAAACUCAUGCAAUGACUAAAAUUAAUGGUUUAUACUGUUCCACAAGACCAAUUCGAGUAGGACCAGCUACUCCUAGAAGAUCUCAAGGCAAUUCAGGCUCAUCUUCACCGAGGCAAUCAGAUUCUGACUCAACUAUGCUUGUCUAAGUUUCCAGUGAUUGUUUAAUUAAAGUGCAACUGUUUAUUUGUACGAGUUACAAUAGCCUUGCUCUAUUUAACUUGCUUCUUUGGACUUUUUAUGUUUCCAUACUUUUCAUUAUUAUUAUUUUGUAAUAUAUGUUCGCAGAAAGUAUACAGUGAUAAUAAAUGCUUUCAUAUGGAUUAAUAUCAUUUCCUUGUAACAGAUGUUAAUACUAAUAAGACAUAUAUUUCCCUCUCUGCAUUGAAUCACAUCUCGAAAUAUUAUCUCUUACUACAUAGCGAGGUACAUUAUGGGAUGAUUGCAAUUGCCAUUUUCAUAUUGGGCUUUAUUUAAUCUUGACUUUUUUCUUGACCAUAUUAGUAGCUGGAAAGUUUGUCCUCCCUCACUCCCCGAUGGCAGGCUCAAGCUUUUCGAGCAUAGACUAAGCAAUUUGUUGCCCUUUAUCUAAAGGCUUAAGCUGGUCAGCCGUCCUUAUCCUCACUGAAUGAAGAUGAGCUUACUUCCCUAUGCAUGCAGAUUUAAUCAAAACCAUGUACUGAUAUUUUAGAGGAACCUUGUUAGUUUUGGACCUUGAGGUAUUUCAGUUGAGCACAUCGAAUCGCAGGUUUCAGAGGUUUCGGGUGACAGGGAGGCGCAUAUGGGUGCAAUGCAACAGAAAUUUCAUCUCCGUGCCAUAUAAUGGCAAGGCAAAUCUGUUUCUGAACUUGGGAAGGGAGAGCAUUGCAAUGGUAGGUACAUAUAAAUCCGGCUAUAGUCUGUUCAGAGCAGCCAGUACAGGUCUGAUGUAGAUAGAUGGUUUUGUUUAUAUCACGUAAAACUAAACUUCUUAAGAUAGCAAGCAAACUGGAGGAAAGGAGGCAUGGUGGGAGAAUCUAAUGGGACGGACUAGAGCCGUUCACGCGCCUAAGGUUUGGCGAGAUGCAAGCACUACCCAGGUUUAGGAGGUCUUGAUGAAAUUUUACUAGUUGCAUUGAGUACGCUGACUGUUUUAUGUUUAUUUAGUGUCUGAUCGAGAGAUAAGCACUUUUUAUAGCCUGCCUACAUGGAGAUCCAACGAGUGUCCACGUGUAUUUAAAUGGCUAAAACCUGGUUUUGUAGUUAAUUUUAAUGCCGAUCUCAACAUCUCAAUUACAUCACAUCAACGACUUGUUUGUAACUAAGUUGUUGUUGUGUAACUUGAAAA